UGGGGAAUAUUGCACAAUGGGCGCAAGCCUGAUGCAGCCAUGCCGCGUGUAUGAAGAAGGCCUUCGGGUUGUAAAGUACUUUCAGCGAGGAGGAAGGCGUUGUGGUUAAUAACCGCAACGAUUGACGUUACUCGCAGAAGAAGCACCGGCUAACUCCGUGCCAGCAGCCGCGGAAAUACGGAGGGUGCAAGCGUUCAUCGGAAUUACUGGGCGUAAAGCGCACGCAGGCGGUCUGUCAAGUCGGAUGUGAAAUCCCCGGGCUCAACCUGGGAACUGCAUCCGAAACUGGCAGGCUAGAGUCUUGUAGAGGGGGGUAGAAUUCCAGGUGUAGCGGUGAAAUGCGUAGAGAUCUGGAGGAAUACCGGUGGCGAAGGCGGCCCCCUGGACAAAGACUGACGCUCAGGUGCGAAAGCGUGGGGAGCAAACA
rnacentral:rRNA from 1 species